GUAUUACAUUAUUGUAAGUCGCUUUGGACAAAAGCGUCUGCCAAAUGAAAUGAA
rfam:Astyanax mexicanus chromosome 24, whole genome shotgun sequence.